UGCAAACUGAAGGAAAAAUAAAAAAGCUUUUUCUAGCUAUAAAGGAGAAAACAACAAAAUGAUGACUACAAUGAACUUGAUUAAAGGAAUGGUAGAAAACCAGAAAGGUUGCAAGGUUUGUGAGUAUAAAAGAAGGAAAAGAUUAAAAUAAGGAAUGAGGCUCAUGACCUCAGAACUUGUGGUGCCCUUAUCAGUGUUCAGUCCUCUGGGGAGCAGAGAUGCAUUGGACCAUUGGACUAAAAUGUGGUAAACAGCCUAUAAAGAGAGGUGGGAACAAUUCAGAGUUGAAUUUACAUGGGAAUUAAAACAAAUAUAUAAAUAUUUGGUUGGAAGAAACUGAUAAUUCCAUAUAAAUACAUAAAGAUUACUAAUGCUAGGAAAUGAAUUAGUUGGCCUCUGUUACAAAACAACAACAUAGAAAGCAAUGAGCAUAUAAAAGGGGAAAAACAGAUUUAAAUUUUAGAAAGGUGCUAAUGAAGGGAAAGGACAAAUGGACCAGGAGGCACUUUGCCCAAAGUAGUAUGAGGCAUCAUUUCUGGACCCCUGGGUUCUGCCUAAGACAGCCAUGAGUGGCGAGGGGCUAGAGAUCUGGGUCAGCUACCAGGACACAUGAUCCAUGUGUCAGCACAGGCUUUGCCACCUCAUUCUUUGAAAGAAACUCACAGCUAUGUUGCAUAUCUGGAAUAGAGAGGAUUUCUCAAGAUACGUGCCUUAGUUCCUCAAAAUAACAGAGAAUUUGUUCAGUGACAUUCAAAAAUCUUCCAACCUUCUUCUGUUGGGAAGUCAAACAAUUGCAGAGCUAAGUCCUCUGAGGGGGAGAUGGGGCAGGACCAACUCUGGGCAAACUGCAGCAGCUGUUGACAUCCUGUGCAGUGUCAAUAGGAAACUCAUUUGCCAUGAAUUACAAGAAGCACAACUGGAAGAAGAGCAAGGUGUUUUUCAAAAUCAUGCACUGACCAGAGAGAAGCAUAAGCAAACACGCUUCCCAACCAUUGAUUAGUAAGUGCUCUGUGAAUGGAUCAGUUUUUCUGUGAAUAUAUUUUCACAUUUAAGAGUAAAUUCAGAUUUAAUGGCUUUGUUUGCAAACCAUUUGUGUCUAAAUUUCACAAUCAUUUGAGUGCUUGAGGUCUUCUGUUACUGUGUAAGGCAAACGUCAGGCUGAAAUGCACAAAUAUUUACGGAGAUAUUACUUCAUGUAGUGUAAAAUUUCCUAUUUAGAUUUUGAGCUGGUUUGAAGAAUUACAUAAAUCAUCCAGAAACAAAGAGGUUGACCUAUGUAGCAAAGCAACAGAGUGUGAACUUCGGAUGGGUAAUCAGUAGAACAAACAGUUUGCAAGUGCUGUGUGGACCAAGAACAAAUUUGCUGAUGGUAUUCCUGUGUAAUCUCAAGCUAUUUAAUCUGAGAUUUUCCUAGUCUGGGUGAGGACAGAUUUUCAGUGAAGGGAAUGAGUGCAUGUUUGGAAAUACUUCUAGUAAUUUAUCUGUUAGCUCAUGUCUGCAAGUAUACAGGGUGACAUUCUACUGAUAUAUCCUACUGGAUUGCAAUAGUUGUCUAUGUCUUUGGAGAUAUUCAAAACUUCACUGAGAAAGGUCCUGGGAAACCUGCUCUAACUGAUCUGUUUGAUCUGUAGUGGACUAGAUGACCUUCAACAUCAGCACCAUUAUCUGUUCUUCAGUUCCUCCCUUUGUUGCCAUGUUUAACUUAAUUGCAUCAGAUUCUUUGCUAAUGAAAAUCUGUACAUCUUUGCUUCUGUGCAACAAAGGCAGAUCAGAUCAUGGACUGUAUCUGCUGGUCCAUUGCUAGCAGUCAGAAAUCUAGUCAUCCCACGUUACUCAGUACGUGUCAGGCUGUACCUGGAGUACUGUGUCCAGUUCUGAUCACCACAAUUCAAAAAAGAAGUGCACAGACUGGAUUUGGACACAAAUACAAUUGAAUUGGGGAAAGUCUGAAGGAGUUAUAGCCUUUCAGCCUGGGGAAGAAAAGGGGGUAUCUCAUCACAGUUUUCCAGUACUUACAGGAUGGAUACAAAGAGGAUGGGGGCUCUCUCUUCACAAGUAGCUACACGGACAAGACAAGGGGCAGCAGGUACCAGUUCCACUGGGAAAGGUUUCAGUGUGAUCUGUGAAAGAUAUAUUCUCGUUUUUUGCAGAGAGAGCAAUCAAUCACUGGAACAACCUCAGUAUGGAUGUGGUAGAAUCCCCAUCACUGGAAGUUUUCAAUAUACUUGUGGAUAGGGUGCUAGAUAAUCUAGAUAAUCAUCUAGGCACUCUUUUGCAUAAAAGGUUCAACCAGGUGAUCUUUUGAAGAACCUUCCAACCUUCACUGUUCUAUGUUUCUAUGAUCUCUAGUCAAAUCUGGUAGAGCUACUCCAAUGUUAAACCAGAGAAGAAUUGUUGUCCUGAAUGGAAAACCCCUGAAAAUAAAGUCUGUGGAGUCUGAACCAGCAUUGACCAUGAUUUUGCACAGUCCCCGCUGUGGACCUAGCACUGUAUCUGCUGCCAUUUUAAACUGAUGAUGCUCCCAUAUUGCACAGGUGCAACACUAAUGACCAAGCACGGGUGAUAAUGGUGGUCCCCCCACUACAAUGUCACAUUCUCCUGCUGGGCAUAGGAGGUCAAUGGAAGAUUUAGCUGACUUUUUAGUGUAACUCCAGCUAAUGCCCAAACAAGACUGGAUUGUAUCUAUAGCACACAUUCAGUUGAAAUACGCUUUACUUCAGGACAUACAAACCUAGCCAUCAAUCUGGUCUUUCUAGUCAUUUUUUACAGGCACAAGCUGAGUUCUUGUUAUUUUAAUUGUUGUUAUUGCAGAAAUCUCCUAAGUCAUUUUGCCAUUUGCCCACUUAAAAAAAAGCCAUAACCAGAGAGGGGAAAUCAGACAAAAUGACACAUUAAUCAUGGCCACUCUUGUACAUUUUAAAAUUGUGCUGCUAUGUCAUGCUUAACAAAGCUUGCUGCAAGCUAAUAAAGGGCUACAAAAGAGCUACUUGAGUUAGCUGAUCCUUAAAAAAAAAAAAAAAAAAGCAAGAUUUUUAAAGAGGGGAAAGAAAAAGAAUUAGCUUUUUAAUAUCCUGCUUGCAUUAUGGUACGUGCAUCUAUCAAAAGAAGAGAGAGGCAACUUAAAUCUUGGCAAGUAGAAACAAAGUCAUAGAUGUCCUACUGUGAUUUUAAUUCAGUGUAUAAAUAUCUAAGAGGGAGAAAAGAGAGCUUAGAGGUAAUUUAGAGGUACCAAGAUAUUGGUACUGUAUUCAAUGGUUAGCAUUGUAGGAAAUGAUUAGAAGGUAAACCAAAGGAAAGUCAAUAAAGAGGAGCAAAAAUAUUUUGUUUUACCAAAUGGUAUUAUCUACAUUCAUGGUCUAAGUGCUAUUCCAGAUCUGUUUACAAAAAUACAGUUGUUAGGACUGGAAUACUAGACAUUUUUAAAUGCUGUGCCGUAUCACAAUUUAAUCCACUGUUUCAUACUCACCAGACAAAAGGUUUAAUGAACUGAAUAUGUAGAAGAGUGGGAGUGGUGGCCUAAAUAGUCAGUUAUCACAAUUAAUUCAGUAGUGAAAACUCUUCUUACCUGGUAAUAGUCUUGAAGAAAUUUUGGACAGAACAAGGAAGACCCAAAACCUAACCAGAUGGUCAAGCUUCUAUGGCUCUUCCUGACUUUGAAGACAGUCACCAUCCUUGACCUUUUGAGGUGAGUAGUAAGGCAGGAUUAUAUCUCAGCUGUGAUUGUUGUUUGUUUUUCUCAUACCAACAACACACUAAUAAUUAAUGACUGCUCCACAGUUAGAAAGGACAUACGUGC